UGUCAACUUAGUCAUGGGAACAAAACACC
rnacentral:piRNA from 1 species